rnacentral:rRNA from 1 species
AACGCUAGCUACAGGCUUAACACAUGCAAGUCGAGGGGCGGCAUUUUAGUUUGCUUGCAAACUGAAGAUGGCGACCGGCGCACGGGUGAGUAACACGUAUCCAACCUGCCGAUAACUCCGGAAUAGCCUUUCGAAAGAAAGAUUAAUACCGGAUGGCAUACGAAUAUCGCAUGAUAUUUUUAUUAAAGAAUUUCGGUUAUCGAUGGGGAUGCGUUCCAUUAGUUUGUUGGCGGGGUAACGGCCCACCAAGACUACGAUGGAUAGGGGUUCUGAGAGGAAGGUCCCCCACAUUGGAACUGAGACACGGUCCAAACUCCUACGGGAGGCAGCAGUGAGGAAUAUUGGUCAAUGGGCGAGAGCCUGAACCAGCCAAGUAGCGUGAAGGAUGAAGGCUCUAUGGGUCGUAAACUUCUUUUAUAUGGGAAUAAAGUUUUCCACGUGUGGAAUUUUGUAUGUACCAUAUGAAUAAGGAUCGGCUAACUCCGUGCCAGCAGCCGCGGUAAUACGGAGGAUCCGAGCGUUAUCCGGAUUUAUUGGGUUUAAAGGGAGCGUAGGUGGAUUGUUAAGUCAGUUGUGAAAGUUUGCGGCUCAACCGUAAAAUUGCAGUUGAAACUGGCAGUCUUGAGUACAGUAGAGGUGGGCGGAAUUCGUGGUGUAGCGGUGAAAUGCUUAGAUAUCACGAAGAACUCCGAUUG